CCUACGGGUCGCAGCAGUGGGGAAUAUUGCACAAUGGGCGCAAGCCUGAUGCAGCCAUGCCGCGUGUGUGAAGAAGGCCUUCGGGUUGUAAAGCACUUUCAGUGGGGAGGAAGGCGGUGAGAUUAAUACUCUCACCGAUUGACGUUACCCGCAGAAGAAGCACCGGCUAACUCCGUGCUAGCAGCCGCGGUACUACGGAGGGUGCAAGCGUUAAUCGGAAUGACUGGGCGUAAAGCGCACGCAGGCGGUUUGUUAAGUCAGAUGUGAAAUCCCCGAGCUUAACUUGGGAACUGCAUUUGAAACUGGCAAGCUAGAGUCUCGUAGAGGGGGGUAGAAUUCCAGGUGUAGCGGUGAAAUGCGUAGAGAUCUGGAGGAAUACCGGUGGCGAAGGCGGCCUCCUGGACAAAGACUGACGCUCAGGUGCGAAAGCGUGGGGAGCAAACAGGAUUAGAUACCCGUGUAGUC
rnacentral:rRNA from 1 species